rfam:Triticum aestivum genome assembly, contig: Triticum_aestivum_CS42_TGACv1_scaffold_423962_5BS
AUAGUACUCCAUCCGUCCGAAAAAGCUUGUCCUUCAAAUGGGUGUGUUUAGCACAAAAUCAGUGCUAGAUACAUCCGUUCGAGGAACAAGCUUGGGACAAGCUUUUUUCGGACGGAGGGAGUAGCUA